GCCUUCGUAGUGUAAUGGUAGCACACUCGGCACAUAUUUGAGAGGUCUAGGUUCGAAACCCGGCGAGGGCA
rnacentral:tRNA from 1 species